rnacentral:rRNA from 1 species
AGGUCUCCGUAGGUGAACCUGCGGAGGGAUCAUUACAGAGUUCAGGCCCUCACGGGCAGAUCUCCCACCCCUGUGUAUUCAUACCUCUGUUGCUUUGGCGGGCCGCCAGGCUUCGACCUGGCCACCGGCCCUGGAGCUGGUGCGCGCCCGCCAGAGGACCCCCAAACUCUGGUCAUCAGUGUCGUCCGAGUACUAUACAAUCGUUAAAACUUUCAACAACGGAUCUCUUGGUUCUGGCAUCGAUGAAGAACGCAGCGAAAUGCGAUAAGUAAUGAGAAUUGCAGAAUUCAGUGGAUCAUCGAAUCUUUGAACGCACAUUGCGCCCCUUGGUAUUCCGGGGGGCAUGCCUGUCCGAGCGUCAUUUCAACCCUCAAGCUCUGCUUGGUCUUGGGCCUGGCCGUCGUGGCCGGCCUUAAAAUCAGUGGCGGUGCCUGUCGCAGGCUCCAAGCGUAGUACAUCUCUCGCUCUGGAAGCCCGGCGGUGCCUGCCAGACAACCCCUAAUUGUCUCCUACGG